UAACCUGGUUGAUCCUGCCAGUUAGUCAUAUGCUUGUCUCAAAGGUUAAGCCAUGCACGUGUAAGAAUAAACUCUUGAACGGUGAAUCUGCGAAUGGCUCAUUAAAACAGUUAUGGUUUACUUGAUGAUUGACCUUUUAUUAGGUUAUUGGAUAACCGUAGUAAUUCUAGUGCUAAUACAUGUAUAAACACCU
rnacentral:rRNA from 1 species